rnacentral:rRNA from 1 species
AGACAGAGGGGGCAAGCGUUGCUCGGAAUUACUGGGCGUAAAGGGCGCGUAGGCGGGAUGGCAAGUCGGUCGUGAAAUCCUUCGGCUCAACCGAAGAACGUCGAUCGAUACUGCUGUUCUAGAGGGUUGCAGAGGAGACUGGAAUUCCCGGUGUAGCGGUGAAAUGUGUAGAGAUCGGGAGGAACACCGGUGGCGAAGGCGGGUCUCUGGGCAACUCCUGACGCUGAGGCGCGAAAGCGUGGGGAGCAAACGG